rnacentral:rRNA from 1 species
GACAGUCUCAGUUCGGAUUGAAGGCUGAAAUUCGCCUUCAUGAAGCCGGAAUUGCUAGUAAUGGCAGGUCAGCAUACUGCCGUGAAUACGUUCCCGGGCCUUGUACACACCGCCCGCCACACCAUGGGAGCCGGGAAUGCCCGAAGUCGGUGACCCAACCGUAAGGAGGGAGCCGCCGAAGGCAGGCCUGGUAACUGGGGUGAAGUCGUAACAAGGUACC